CAUAACGUCGUAACCGUUCCAACGAACUUGCUCUGCUCUCUCGGUCUCUCCUCCCCUCGCACCAGCGCCAAGCCGCCAAUAAACCCACUCCCUCGCCGCCGCCCGUCGCCGCCGAAGCACCAGAAGCCAGCCGCAGGACCGGACGUCCGCCGCCGCGCCGCGAACACCAGCGCCACCACCUGCGGCCGCGGCGGCGAUGGAGCAGUUCCCCGACGGGGCGCACGUGCGGCUGCGGAGCCGCGUGCACGCAGGGUACCUCCACGCCGACGAGGACGGGGUGGGGGUGUCCCUGCGCCGCUGGCGCCGCAGGUCGAUGAACGUGGCGUGGAAGGUGCACCGCAUCCUGCACGACGGCUCCACCAGCGUCCUCCUCCACAGCGCCGCCUAUGGCCGGUACCUCGCGGCGUCCCACGACCCGGCGCCGCCGGGCCACCUCGGCCUCCGCGUCGACCUGGGCGACUACGACCAGGACGUGGACCCCAUCCUGUGGAAGGCCGUCGGCUCCGGGGACGCCGGCUACGUCCUCCUGCGCCACGUCUCCAACCGCCUCCUCCGCGCCAACGGAAGGUACCGCCUCUGGCACCGUGGCGUCUCCGUCGACGACGUCGACAACCAGAGCACGAUGAUGCAUUGGAAGGUCGAGACCAUCCCCACCAGCCCCAGGCCGCCAGCACUUCCAGCGCCGACUCGGGUGAGCACGCCCGUCUCGCGUCGCGUCCCCUAUCGCCUUGCACCCCUCGCCUAGGCCCUAGGCUCGUCGCACUGAUUUGGGGUUGGGGCGGGCUGCCAAAUGUGACCAUUGCUUUUCUGCAGUCCUGGGAUCAAUUCUGUGCCAAGAUUACCAAUUCGCUCGCUCAAAAUUCUGAAUCAUGUUCGGAUGUUCCUCUAGGUCCAUCUCCUGAGCUGAUUCUUUGAAUUUUAUCCAACAAUCAACGAUGAUAUAUGUAACUACAAUUCUUGUGAUAUGUUCAGAUCAAGAUUUGCUGCAUCUGUACAUUUGGAUCUUUUUAAGCUAUUUCGUAGUUUUCAGUAUCUGGCCAUUUCUUGCUAGAUCAUGGUUAAACCUGAAUUCCUGCGCUUGAACACCUUGGUUCCCAUGACAACGUGCAUUCAGAGAACUAGUGUUCGUCUAACUGUCCCGGUUUCCUAAACACGACCGCGCUCCAUUGUUAACAGAGGAACCGAGGCAGCUUCCGCGGCCUGUUCCUCCUGCACGAGGAGCCCGUGGUGCUGCAGCGGACGGUACGGUUCGUGCGGGCGGACAACUACGGCAACUUCCCGGACAACUGGGGCACGCUCCAGUUCCAGGGCCGCUCCGUCUUUGAGCUGAGAGCGGAGAUGGCGCGUCGCUUAAACUAUGCGCUCUUCUUCUUCCGCCUCCUGAUGUGCGUCCGGGGCGGCCGCUACGGGCGCCUGACCCCGCUACUCAUCGACCUGCCUCGCAACGAGGAGACCCUGGACAUCAUCGUCCUCUUCAUCGGGACACAAGUUGCUCAGG
rnacentral:misc_RNA from 1 species